GGCUCAGGAUGAACGCUGGCGGCGUGCCUAAUACAUGCAAGUAGAACGCUGAAGGAGGAGCUUGCUCUUCUGGAUGAGUUGCGAACGGGUGAGUAACGCGUAGGUAACCUGCCUCUUAGCGGGGGAUAACUAUUGGAAACGAUAGCUAAUACCGCAUAAAAGUCGACAUUGCAUGAUGUUGACUUGAAAGGUGCAACUGCAUCACUAAGAGAUGGACCUGCGUUGUAUUAGCUAGUUGGUGAGGUAACGGCUCACCAAGGCGACGAUACAUAGCCGACCUGAGAGGGUGAUCGGCCACACUGGGACUGAGACACGGCCCAGACUCCUACGGGAGGCAGCAGUAGGGAAUCUUCGGCAAUGGACGGAAGUCUGACCGAGCAACGCCGCGUGAGUGAAGAAGGUUUUCGGAUCGUAAAGCUCUGUUGUAAGAGAAGAACGAGUGUGAGAGUGGAAAGUUCACACUGUGACGGUAACUUACCAGAAAGGGACGGCUAACUACGUGCCAGCAGCCGCGGUAAUACGUAGGUCCCGAGCGUUAUCCGGAUUUAUUGGGCGUAAAGCGAGCGCAGGCGGUUAGAUAAGUCUGAAGUUAAAGGCUGUGGCUUAACCAUAGUACGCUUUGGAAACUGUUUAACUUGAGUGCAGAAGGGGAGAGUGGAAUUCCAUGUGUAGCGGUGAAAUGCGUAGAUAUAUGGAGGAACACCGGUGGCGAAAGCGGCUCUCUGGUCUGUAACUGAC
rnacentral:rRNA from 1 species